UCACCGACCGCUACUCCCACGGCUGCCACCGCUGCUCUGCUGCUUGCCUCUCCAUCCGCUGCCUUGUCCGCCCGUGGCGUCCGUCGGGCUUCUUCUCCGCUGCGUCUUCUCCCCCGGCCCUCAAGAGGGAGAGGGGAAGAUGUCUUCUUGGGACGACGAUGACUCCACGUCGUCGACAAAGGAUGCGGCGACCACGGACGUGGAGCUGCUGAAGCACGCGUGGCGCAACGAGCAGGCGGUGUCGGAUAUUUUCUGCUUCGACUCCCUCCUUGUCUCCCGCAUCCGCGAGCAGAUCUAGCUGCUCGUACGUCCAUUAAUUCUUCUCGCCGUCCCCGCUCCUCUCUCGAUUUUUUGCCGUAAUCGAUCAAUCAUUGGUGUUUGAUGCGAGCACGCCCUCGUUUGUGAUGUGACCAGGAGGAGACGCUGGACAACUUCGUGGACAGCGGCGUCGAUGACCUGGUGGUCUCGCUCUACCAGAUGUUCCUUGACCUCACACGCUCUUCCUCCUCCGCUCGUACCUCUGCCUCCAGCUACAAAAGAUCGAGAAGUACACGGUGCAUAUCUCCAGGUCCGACGACCUCAUGAGUCGGCUGUUGCAGCGUACAGCGGCGGUUCGCCAAAGAGGUAUCAUCUGCGCUGCUGGGCUGUUUGCCCCAAUUGUUUGUGCUAGCUUCUGAACUUUGGUGGUUCUGACGGGAACACAUUUCUUGUGUUUGUACUGUUGCAAGUUCUUGGCUGUAGAUCAAGAAGUACACGAUGCACAUCUCCAGGUCUUAUGACCUCCUGAGCCGGCUGUCGCAUCAAGAGCGGCAGUUCGCCAAGAGUUGUGCGGAUAUCAUGGAGAAGCAUAUGGAUCAUUCAGUGUUGUCGAAGCUGUCGUACGGGUAUGACUCACUGACCAGGCAGUCAUUGUCGAGCUCUGAGGAUGAUAUGGGUAUACCCUUUACUUGAUCUUCCAAAUUCCGGUGUUCCUUUUGCACUGCUAUGCUGCUUUUGUUGUUUGCAGCUUUAGUCAUAUUACAUAUUUGCACAGGCUGCUGAAUGUGAAUGGUUGGUAGAAAGUUUCACCAUUUCAUUCAAGUGAUAUGUAUUUUUGGGGACUCUAGUUAUUAAAUGUAGUGAAAAGUUGAGUUCCUACAUGACAACAUUUCGUUAUUAAACUCAUAGCAUCUCUGGUAUAAGCAUGUCUUUUGCACUUCUCAUAUGAUGAUUCUGGUUAGACAGGCUGUAAUAUUACAUAAACCGCAUCUUGUGACUUUCAUCCUCAAAUUAUGGCUAGUUUUAGAGGAUUCAAUAAUGUUAUUAUGUGUUAAUAUUUUGUUUCCAUUGCAACA